GUAGGUGGCAAGCGUUGUCCGGAAUUAUUGGGCGUAAAGCGCGCGCAGGCGGUUCUUUAAGUCUGAUGUGAAAGCCCACGGCUCAACCGUGGAGGGUCAUUGGAAACUGGAGAACUUGAGUACAGAAGAGGAAAGCAGAAUUCCACGUGUAGCGGUGAAAUGCGUAGAGAUGUGGAGGAACACCAGUGGCGAAGGCGGCUUUCUGGUCUGUAACUGACGCUGAGGCGCGAAAGCGUGGGGAGCAAACAGGAUUAGAUACCCUGGUAGUCCACGCCGUAAACGAUGAGUGCUAAGUGUUAGGGGGGUUUUCCGCCCCCCUUAGUGCUGCAGCUAACGCAUUAAGCACUCCGCCUGGGAGUACGGCCGCAAGGCUG
rnacentral:rRNA from 1 species